rnacentral:lncRNA from 1 species
GGUUGUCGCUCUCUCUGCGUCGAUCCGUCCCGAUCAGAUCCGGAAAUGGAGGCAGGACAGAGUACGCAGUUUCUUUCCCUAUCGAUGGGCGAGUGCGAGGUCUUUGUAUAAAAACAAAGAAAUAAAUAACCUUCAGAUCGCAAAGAAAAAAAGAAAGGUUAGUGCUGCCUUUCGGAUUCAUCAGAGAAAAGGCCUGUUGCUGAGGGUGACAGUGGUGACUAUAGAGACUCAAUGUCGGUGUACUGAGAGCAAGUGAGUGUGGGUGCUCAGGCCUGAGUGGGACAUCCACAUCAACACCUGCCAAGGCCCAGGGAGCUUCACGGAAGAGGACUCGGAGAGAAGAUGAGAACAAGGCGAUGAGGGGAAGUGCUGCGGAACACCGUUUCCCAGGCAGAACAUGGCCACUGCACUCCUAAUCGCUCAGCAACUGAGAUGACUUGAGUGAGACCUGCAGAAGACUGGGCCCGUCAGCAUCCCAUCAUGGAUGGAUAAGACUGUAAGCUCUCAAGUCUUGUUCCAGUGUCAUCUGCCUGCCUGCUGUUACGCUCCCAUGAUAAUGUUCAUGGACUUAAUGCCUGAAAAUGUAAGUGCCCAAUAAACUGUUUCUUCUUUAA